CCUACGGGAGGCAGCAGUGGGGAAUAUUGGACAAUGGGCGAAAGCCUGAUCCAGCCAUGCCGCGUGUGUGAAGAAGGCCUUCGGGUUGUAAAGCACUUUCAGUGGGGAAGAAAGCCUUGGGGCUAAUACCCUCGAGGAAGGACAUCACCCACAGAAGAAGCACCGGCUAACUCCGUGCCAGCAGCCGCGGUAAUACGGAGGGUGCGAGCGUUAUUCGGAAUUACUGGGCGUAAAGCGCGCGUAGGCGGUCUGAUAAGCCGGUUGUGAAAGCCCCGGGCUCAACCUGGGAACGGCAUCCGGAACUGUCAGGCUAGAGUGCAGGAGAGGAAGGUAGAAUUCCCGGUGUAGCGGUGAAAUGCGUAGAGAUCGGGAGGAAUACCAGUGGCGAAGGCGGCCUUCUGGACUGACACUGACGCUGAGGUGCGAAAGCGUGGGUAGCAAACAGGAUUAGAUACCCCGGUAGUC
rnacentral:rRNA from 1 species